UACGAAGGGUGCAAGCGUUAAUCGGAAUUACUGGGCGUAAAGCGCGCGUAGGUGGUUUGUUAAGUUGGAUGUGAAAGCCCCGGGCUCAACCUGGGAACUGCAUCCAAAACUGGCAAGCUAGAGUAUGGCAGAGGGUGGUGGAAUUUCCUGUGUAGCGGUGAAAUGCGUAGAUAUAGGAAGGAACACCAGUGGCGAAGGCGACCACCUGGGCUAAUACUGACACUGAGGUGCGAAAGCGUGGGGAGCAAACAGGAUUAGAUA
rnacentral:rRNA from 1 species